CCCUUAGAUGUCCUGGGCCGCACGCGCGCUACACUGAGUGUCUGAGAUACGAGUCUGCCUGGUCCGGCAAGGUCUAGGUAAUCGCUAAAAGACACAUCAUGCUUGGGAUAGAUUAUUGCAAAUAUUAAUCUUGAACGAGGAAUUCCUAGUAAGCGCAAGUCAACAGCUUGCGUUGAUUACGUCCCUGCCCUUUGUACACACCGCCCGUCGCUACUACUGAUUGGAUGUUUAAGCGAGGUUCUCGAACUGCUAGCGACUUAGCUUCGGUGAGAUCGCAGUGUGGGAAGUGAACCUAGCUUUGGUGUCUAGAGGAAGUAAAAGUCGUAACA
rnacentral:rRNA from 1 species